UACGGAGAGUGCAAGCAUUAAUCGGAAUUAUUGGGCGUAAAGGGCGUGUAGGCGGAACAAUAAGUCAGAUGUGAAAUUCCGGAGCUCAACUUCGGAGCUGCAUUUGAAACUAUCGUUCUUGAGGAUUGACGGAGAAAACGGAAUUCCACGUGUAGCGGUGAAAUGCGUAGAUAUGUGGAAGAACACCGGUGGCGAAAGCGGUUUUCUAGUUUAUUCCUGACGCUGAGGCGCGAGAGCAAGGGGAGCAAACAGG
rnacentral:rRNA from 1 species